AGCAGUCGCCGCGGGAAUACGUAGGGUGCAAGCGUUAAUCGGAAUUACUGGGCGUAAAGCGUGCGCAGGCGGUUCGCUAAGACAGAUGUGAAAUCCCCGGGCUUAACCUGGGAACUGCAUUUGUGACUGGCGGGCUAGAGUAUGGCAGAGGGGGGUAGAAUUCCACGUGUAGCAGUGAAAUGCGUAGAGAUGUGGAGGAAUACCGGUGGCGAAGGCAGCCCCCUGGGCCAAUACUGACGCUCAUGCACGAAAGCGUGGGGAGCAAACAGGAUUAGAUACCGCGUAGUCCCUGUCUCUUAUACA
rnacentral:rRNA from 1 species